rnacentral:lncRNA from 1 species
AUUGUUGAUGAGAUUGCAAGAAAAUACUUUUCAAGUUUGUGUUUAUCUUUAUUAAUGUUUAUAAGCUUUUCAGCAGAAUUUGUUAGUUGUUAAAUAGAUUUUUUAUUUGUGUGGUUGUAAGUUUCAUGUGUAUUACAGGUAGAAUGAAGAACUGCUUUUAUAUCUUUACUGCUCACAGACAUUUCUCCUUAAUAGUGUUAAAAAUAUUGUGUUCUAAAUCAUCUUUUCUCUUUUUUUCUAUAUUUUUUUUUAAAUCUCUCAUUGGUGGAAAUCAUAUUAAUAAUUUAAACGUCUUUGAUGAUCUCAGAAAUUUAAUGAUAUACUGGUAAGAAAAUUUCUUUGGGUUGAAAAAGUCUGUAAUUCACAUCAAUUGGGGUACAUUUGUCUGCUAUUUUUGGCAAAUUGUUAGAUUUCAGAUGUGGAAACAUUGAAUUCCUCUAGUCACAAUUUAGGCAGCUUUUACAUAACAGUUACUGUCACUUUGGUUUGGUUUCAGAUACUUAAUAAAUUUUACUCUGAUAACAAAUAUUGAACAGCUAUUAAUUAAAAUUCCAUGAAUUAUAUGUUUCAAUAACUAUAACAAUCUUCUUAUUUGUAAAAAUUUCUUUUUUUCUGAACCCCACCUAUCCUUCACUUUUUGUCAGCUCGGUGCAAUAAUCAAAUUAUCUAUUUGUACUCCUAGUGUGUAUUCAAGAGUGUGGUGAGAGAUUGUUGAAUUUUAUGUUGCCAUUGGUUGCCUUAUUGUUAUUUUUUUAUUUGUUUUACAGAUCAGUAAACAUACUGAACUUUGACAUAUAUUUUACAUUUCUUUCAUUCAUUUAAAAAAAAUCAUAUGUGUAUCUCAUUGAAUCUCAGUGUUCUAAUUGGUGUAGAAUGUGAAUUUUAAAUGCAGUUGUUUUAUACCCUGAUGAAGGACAAGUGUGUGAAAGGCAUGGUCUUACAUGACAGUGAUGUUAUUAUUGGCGAUUACCAAGGAAUGAAUGGCUUCAGAAGGGUUUCAUUUUUAGUCGAGAUUGGGUUUUCAUGCAAGUAAUAAUGUAUUAAAAAACGAAAUUAUGGAACACUAAAAAAAGGAUGAGAAAAGUUAUCAAUUUCUGCCUGUCUUUAUCAUUUUCUCUUCCUUUGGUCAGCAUUUGUAUAUUAGCAAUAUAUUGAAAUACUGCUUGCAAUCUAUCCUUGAUCUCAAGCAGCUUCUAUAGAGUUAUAAUUUUAUAUAAUACAGAUAUAAAAUGUUAAACUGUAAAAUGAAUUGUCAUAUAUAUAUAUAUAGUAUUUGCUCUGCUUCUGAUUGCAAAAAAAUAUAUAUAUCCUCAUACUGCCAGAGGACACACAUUUUUCUCUAAACGUUUAGGUACCGGGUACAUUAUUUUAUGUCCAUGAUAUAUUGUGGCCUACAGCAAGGUGCUCUAAUUUACAUUCCAUAGUAUUUGUUAUUUUGUUAUUGAUUUCAUAUUUAAUGUCCAUUUACUAGAUCAGACAGUUUGUAAACUAAAAUUAGUUAAAGCCAUCUUUUUUAUAUUGCCUAUCAUUAGGAUCAUCAUACGGUUUAGGAUAUUUAAUGAAAAUUGUGAUUUCUGCAUAAGCAAUAGUUUAAAUCAUGUCUCUUAACAGAAAAUGCAUUUAAUCACAUAAACAAUAUGAAUUUUCUUUAAUGAAUAUUAAUAUAUUUUGAGGAUAAUUUGUUGUGCAGCUUUCUAAAUUUUCUUCUUUUUUGUCUAACCUUCGACUUUUGUUGAAAAAGUGAGACUCUGCUGUUUGAUGUUGAUAAGUUACUUCAUAUAUAAAUUCUAUAAAUUAUAAUUCUUAAGGACUUUCUGUUUAGAAUUUUCCUUGGAGUUCUGUAUUUUUGUAAUUUUACUUUUUGUCAGAGUUUUACUUUUUUUAUAGUUUUUGUUAGAUUGUUAGGGUAUUUGUAGAUAUUUUUUGAUAUUGUAGCUGAAAAUGUUAUUUGGGUGUUAAAUAUUUGAGGAUUAAUUUUAUUGAAAUAUAAUUAUUUAGUAAAUGUGUACAUUUUAAAAUGAAUUGUUGCAUUUUCUCAUGCUUCGGCCGGUACAUUGUACUAGUCUUAAAAUAAUACCAUGAACACAUUGACACAACCCUAUAAACACAUAAAAUUAUAAACACAAAAAAAAUUGAGAUUGAUAAAAUUUUAUGUAUUGUUUUCCAAAAACCAUUACUAAAAAUACCUUAUCUAUCCCAACAGAUUUUCUAAUACAGGUUAUGAUGGGCCAACAGGAUUUUUUUUUCACAGUGUGACUAUUAUAAAAAGAGAGUGUACUUAACGAUAAAAGACAUAGUCCCAGGAAUGCAUAAUUUUGAAUUAUUUUGUAAUUCUUUUAUAAGUAAAGUGACAUAAUAGAUUUUAUCUAAAGAAAAUUUAGGACAUACCAUUAUUUCAACUUAGAAUUUGAUUUCUGAGAUAGUUAUGAACUUAUAUGAUACUUGUGGUUCACUGCUCAAGUUUUUAAAACCCAAUCUAUUAGAUUGACC